GGUUAAGCGACUAAGCGUACACGGUGGAUGCCCUGGCAGUCAGAGGCGAUGAAGGACGUGCUAAUCUGCGAAAAGCGCCGGCGAGGUGAUAUGAACCUUUGACCCGGCGAUGUCCGAAUGGGGAAACCCAGUGUGUUCCGACACACUAUCGUUAACUGAAUACAUAGGUUAACGAGGCGAACCGGGGGAACUGAAACAUCUAAGUACCCCGAGGAAAAGAAAUCAACCGAGAUUCCCCCAGUAGCGGCGAGCGAACGGGGAGCAGCCCGGAGUCUGAAUCAGCUUGUGUGUUAGUGGAACGGUCUGGAAAGUCCGACGGUACAGGGUGAUAGUCCCGUACACGAAAAUGCACAUGCUGUGAACUCGAAGAGUAGGGCGGGACACGUGGUAUCCUGUCUGAAUAUGGGGGGACCAUCCUCCAAGGCUAAAUACUCCUGACUGACCGAUAGUGAACCAGUACCGUGAGGGAAAGGCGAAAAGAACCCCGGCGAGGGGAGUGAAAAAGAACCUGAAACCGUGUACGUACAAGCAGUGGGAGCACCUUCGGGUGUGACUGCGUACCUUUUGUAUAAUGGGUCAGCGACUUAUAUUCUGUAGCAAGGUUAACCGUAUAGGGGAGCCGAAGGGAAACCGAGUCUUAACUGGGCGUUAAGUUGCAGGGUAUAGACCCGAAACCCGGUGAUCUAGCCAUGGGCAGGUUGAAGGUUGGGUAACACUAACUGGAGGACCGAACCGACUAAUGUUGAAAAAUUAGCGGAUGACCUGUGGCUGGGGGUGAAAGGCCAAUCAAACCGGGAGAUAGCUGGUUCUCCCCGAAAGCUAUUUAGGUAGCGCCUCGUGAACUCAUCUUCGGGGGUAGAGCACUGUUUCGGCUAGGGGGCCAUCCCGGCUUACCAACCCGAUGCAAACUACGAAUACCGAAGAAUGUUAUCACGGGAGACACACGGCGGGUGCUAACGUCCGUCGUGAAGAGGGAAACAACCCAGACCGCCAGCUAAGGUCCCAAAGUCAUGGUUAAGUGGGAAACGAUGUGGGAAGGCACAGACAGCCAGGAUGUUGGCUUAGAAGCAGCCAUCAUUUAAAGAAAGCGUAAUAGCUCACUGGUCGAGUCGGCCUGCGCGGAAGAUGUAACGGGGCUAAACCAUGCACCGAAGCUGCGGCAGCGACACUAUGUGUUGUUGGGUAGGGGAGCGUUCUGUAAGCCGUUGAAGGUGUGCUGUGAGGCAUGCUGGAGGUAUCAGAAGUGCGAAUGCUGACAUAAGUAACGAUAAAGCGGGUGAAAAGCCCGCUCGCCGGAAGACCAAGGGUUCCUGUCCAACGUUAAUCGGGGCAGGGUGAGUCGACCCCUAAGGCGAGGCCGAAAGGCGUAGUCGAUGGGAAACAGGUUAAUAUUCCUGUACUUGGUGUUACUGCGAAGGGGGGACGGAGAAGGCUAUGUCAGCCGGGCGACGGUUGUCCCGGUUUAAGCAUGUAGGCGGAGGUUCCAGGUAAAUCCGGUACCUUGUUAACGCUGAGGUGUGAUGACGAGGCACUACGGUGCUGAAGUGAUAAAUGCCCUGCUUCCAGGAAAAGCCUCUAAGCAUCAGGUAACACGAAAUCGUACCCCAAACCGACACAGGUGGUCAGGUAGAGAAUACCAAGGCGCUUGAGAGAACUCGGGUGAAGGAACUAGGCAAAAUGGUGCCGUAACUUCGGGAGAAGGCACGCUGAUAUGUAGGUGAAGCCCCUGCGGGCGGAGCUGAAAUCAGUCGAAGAUACCAGCUGGCUGCAACUGUUUAUUAAAAACACAGCACUGUGCAAACACGAAAGUGGACGUAUACGGUGUGACGCCUGCCCGGUGCCGGAAGGUUAAUUGAUGGGGUUAGCGGCAACGCGAAGCUCUUGAUCGAAGCCCCGGUAAACGGCGGCCGUAACUAUAACGGUCCUAAGGUAGCGAAAUUCCUUGUCGGGUAAGUUCCGACCUGCACGAAUGGCGUAAUGAUGGCCAGGCUGUCUCCACCCGAGACUCAGUGAAAUUGAACUCGCUGUGAAGAUGCAGUGUACCCGCGGCAAGACGGAAAGACCCCGUGAACCUUUACUAUAGCUUGACACUGAACACUGGUCCUUGAUGUGUAGGAUAGGUGGGAGGCUUUGAAGCGUGGACGCCAGUCUGCGUGGAGCCGCCCUUGAAAUACCACCCUUUAAUGGCUGGUGUUCUAACGUAGACCCGUGAUCCGGGUUGCGGACAGUGUCUGGUGGGUAGUUUGACUGGGGCGGUCUCCUCCCAAAGAGUAACGGAGGAGCACGAAGGUUGGCUAAUCCUGGUCGGACAUCAGGAGGUUAGUGCAAUGGCAUAAGCCAGCUUGACUGCGAGCGUGACGGCGCGAGCAGGUGCGAAAGCAGGUCAUAGUGAUCCGGUGGUUCUGAAUGGAAGGGCCAUCGCUCAACGGAUAAAAGGUACUCCGGGGAUAACAGGCUGAUACCGCCCAAGAGUUCAUAUCGACGGCGGUGUUUGGCACCUCGAUGUCGGCUCAUCACAUCCUGGGGCUGAAGUAGGUCCCAAGGGUAUGGCUGUUCGCCAUUUAAAGUGGUACGCGAGCUGGGUUUAGAACGUCGUGAGACAGUUCGGUCCCUAUCUGCCGUGGGCGCUGGAGAAUUGAGGGGGGCUGCUCCUAGUACGAGAGGACCGGAGUGGACGCAUCACUGGUGUUCGGGUUGUCAUGCCAAUGGCACUGCCCGGUAGCUAAAUGCGGAAGAGAUAAGUGCUGAAAGCAUCUAAGCACGAAACUUGCCCCGAGAUGAGUUCUCCCUGAGACUUUAAGUCUCCUGAAGGAACGUUGAAGACGACGACGUUGAUAGGUCGGGUGUGUAAGCGCAGCGAUGCGUUGAGCUAACCGAUACUAAUGAACCGUGAGGCUUAACCUU
rnacentral:rRNA from 1 species